rnacentral:rRNA from 1 species
UACAGAGGUCUCGAGCGUUAGGCGGAAUCACUGGGCUUAAAGCGUUUGUAGGUGGCUCGCUAAGUCAGACGUGAAAUCCCUCAGCUUAACUGGGGAACUGCGUCUGAAACUGAUGAGCUUGAGUGCAGGAGAGGAACGCGGAAUUCCAGGUGUAGCGGUGAAAUGCGUAGAUAUCUGGAGGAACACCGGUGGCGAAGGCGGCGUUCUGGACUGCAACUGACACUGUAAAACGAAAGCCAGGGGAGCAAACGGG